rnacentral:rRNA from 1 species
AUGAACGCUGGCGGCGUGCCUAAUACAUGCAAGUCGAGCGAACAGACGAGGAGCUUGCUCCUCUGACGUUAGCGGCGGACGGGUGAGUAACACGUGGAUAACCUACCUAUAAGACUGGGAUAACUUCGGGAAACCGGAGCUAAUACCGGAUAAUAUAUUGAACCGCAUGGUUCAAUAGUGAAAGUCGGUUUUGCUGUCACUUAUAGAUGGAUCCGCGCCGCAUUAGCUAGUUGGUAAGGUAACGGCUUACCAAGGCAACGAUGCGUAGCCGACCUGAGAGGGUGAUCGGCCACACUGGAACUUAGACACCGUCCAGACUCCUACGGGAGGCAGCAGUAGGGAAUCUUCCGCAAUGGGCGAAAGCUUGACGGAGCAACGCCGCGUGAGUGAUGAAGGUCUUCGGAUCGUAAAACUCUGUUAUUAGGGAAGAACAAAUGUGUAAGUAACUAUGCACGUCUUGACGGUACCUAAUCAGAAAGCCACGGCUAACUACGUG